rfam:Rattus norvegicus chromosome 14, whole genome shotgun sequence.
GGGGAUUUAGCUCAGCGGUAGAGCACUUGCCUAGCAAGCGCAAGGCCCUGGGUUCGAUCCCAGCUCUG